GGGAGAAGAGGACACUGGCUUUUAAACAAAUAUGGCGCUAUCGAAUCUGGGAGAAGAAAAGUAGACAAUGAAAAUUUGACAUUUAACAGAGACUGGACUACAAAAUAUGCAUUUAUCGGAAAUGCAGUGGGGAAGCCGCUGUGUUUACUGUGUAACGACGUCAAUGCUUUUUGAAUUAAUAUAACCAGCAGAGGCACUUUCAGACGAAACAUCACAACUUUGACGCAGUUCAACCCCCCGCCCAUUUCACUAGAUUAUUGUUGAGUAGAGCGGUUCUGGAUUUUUUUCCUGGACCCGUGCAAAAUUAUGGACUUUUGUGGCUUACUCCAGUACAGAUGCAUGCUGGCACGAGCAAGUGAACAUCACCAUGGUGACAAACUUGAUCAGCUCAGGCACAGUGGUGAAACUCUGAGGGAUUCCUGGCAAGGACACAGACGAGACAACAUCACUGCAAGAAAUUUUUGGUGGGUCACGGGGGCAUGCUGGAGCCUAUCUCAGCUGACUUUGGCCGACAGGCGGGGUACACCCUGGACUGGUCGCCAGCCAAUGGCAGGGCACAUAUAGACAAACAACCAUUCACACUCACAUUCAUACCUAUGGACAAUUUAGAGUCACCAAUUAACCUAACAUGCAUGUUUUGGGAUGUGGGAGGAAACCGGAGUACCCGGAGAAAGCCCACGCACGCACAGGGAGAACAUGCAAACUCCACACAGAAAAUGCCCAGGGGAGAAUCGAACCCAGGUCUUCCCGAUCUCCAGCCUGUUACUGUGUUGGCCAACAUGCUAACCACUAGACCACCGUGUGGCCCUUCAUAUUUUUAAAUUGUUCACAAACUUUUUAAUUAUAUACAAACAUAUAUAUCUAUAUGAUCAAGAAAUGAAAGAAAAAAUCACAAAAUCAUUCCGUGAUCUUGAAAAACGUUCACUGUCCAAACAGUCCAUAUACAAAGAGUCACUGUUUUGCAACCUGUACAAAGACAAAGUUUUGUAUGUACUUUAUGUACUUUAUUUAUCCCACAGCGGGGAAAUUUACUUGUUACAGCAGCAAGACAAGUAAAGAGAACAGUGUAAAGAAUACAUAGUGACUACAACAUGGUUCAGGUGGUGCAGGUGUUGUAGAGCCUGACAGCGGUCGGUAUGAAGGACCUGCGGAACCUCUCCUUCUUACACCGUGGAUGUAACAGUCUGGUGCUGAAGGAGCUGCUCAGUUUUGUUAUACUUAUUGGUUUCCUUCAUAUCCCAAAUAGAAUAGCAAAAAGAAAAAUGCACACCAGUCUAAAGUUCGGGUCUCAGGUGGUUUCAGAUACCACAUAAACAUGCAAUAACUAUUUUGCCACAUCACAGUAGAUUUGAUUAAAUUAAAUUUAGCUUUUGCUAUCUAUUUAAUGUACUUGUGAGGUUACUGCUUGGAAAUAAAGCAGUCCCAAUAUAGAGAACAGUUAUUCCAGUGUAUGAAGCCAGCUGUUUUCCAGACUUACUGAUCCUCUGAAGAUGACCAAAGACAUCAGCCAUGUGCGGUCACUCUCGCCUUCUGUGCCCACUAGUUUAAUGUGGAUGUUGUUCAAGGUGGUGGCAUGAACGCGGUCGCCAGUGUGGACGGUCACCUCGUAAACCACCAUUGUUAAUCCGGAAUGAUGACAAGGACUUUUCAAAAUGGGUCUUCAUUCAGAUGGACUCAAUAGGCAAACCUGCCUCUUUUUAUACUAUAUGCUAGUUAGUGGGCGGUUCUUGCAACAGGUUUUCAUCAGGAAUGUCAGACGUGUACGAGCAACGACAGCAUUAGAUUUCACAAGAACGAUAAGGACUUCCACAGUGACAUCUUGUGCAACUGCAUGUAUCUUGCGUCAAAGAAAACCAAUCUAUCCGGCGUGCCAGGUUAGUUGGGAUUACUGGAUGCUCUUUUUCCUGCAACCAUGAAAUUAAGCAGCUCAAAUACAAAAAAAAUAAAGAAUCACAGAUUGUUCACAUUAGCUUUUAUUCAGCAACAGAAAAAAGUAAGUAAUAUGUAAAUGAGAAAAAUAAAUCCAAGUCAUUUUCAUUCAGUUAAGUUUUUUGGGGGGAACCAACAGCUACUAUGUGGCAAUUACAGUGUAUUAAUUCAUUACAAUUGUUCAGAUACUCACUGAGCUGAAGCCGAAUCUUCCAUGACUGUGUUCAAACACCUGUUGUUGUUUUUUUCAAAAACAGGUGUUUUGGUUGUUUUGGUUGAAGUCAACCGCAUUGGGCUUUAGAGGUUCCACUCUUUCUUCUUAUUAAUGAGCAAAGCCAAGCUACAUGCAUUGCAUUAUUUGUGGGAGUGGAUCCAAUUACAUGUCUUUUUUUCCCGCCGAUUGAAUCAACAACUCAAGUCAGAUCUGAGGGGAAGGGACUGUCAGGAGUCCGGUGAGCUUCAGCUUGUUGAUCCCUCCAUCCAGGAUGCAAACCAGUGGGACGUUCACCUUGACGAGGUGUGCCGCAAACUAGGGGGGAAUAUUGAGAUAUAAAAAAGUGAAUAAGGUUCCCGGCAGGAAACAACCAGGUUUAACAAUAAUAGCAACAUUAACAAAAAACACAGUACUGUGUAAGUUGUAACUCUGGUCUCGGCAUGCGAGCUGCUUGCUAAUGUAAUAAAACAAUGUUAAAGGUGCUUUCACACAGGUGAUGUUUAGUGUAGAAUUGCUGUUUUGCCUCAAGCAGAUACCAGACAAGUAGGAUGUGUUUGGCAGAGAUAGAGCUUGUAUCUUGGGUGGACCAUUGUAAAUGUGGGUGGGAACACUCUCUCAAAAUGCAAAACUGCAGACACACAAACAGUUCAGGUCACCACGGCACAAUCUGGGAUUUGGUGAAUUGUUUUUCGUUCUUACAUUGCUUUGUCACACAGAAGUAACUGUUGACCAAUCCACUGACUGCACGUUGUCACUUACCAUCCCACACAAGCAAACCAUACUACUGCAACUGGAGUCCAAACGGAAGCAUGGUGAAAAGCGGGAUUGUACUUUUCAGCAAUACAAUACAAUGGAAUCGCCGCAAAAUGCCACCAGCUAAAUCGAACCCUAUGUCAAAACAGGGUUAAAGUAACUUACCAACUCACUCACUGGCACUCUUCACAUUUUUGUAUAAAAACUGUACUGCUUGGUGGAAACAGUUUAUUUGAGAUGAGACUCUUCAACUCCAUUUUAAUUUCCAUUUAAAUUACAUGACAGCAAAAUCAAUGUCUCGUAUGCUUUGAUGAGAAGCAGAAGCGUUGUUGCGUCGCCUCCUGCCUUGCGCUGUGUGUUCCUGGAUGGCGACACUUCAAUGAGAUGGGGAAACCAACGUAACGGUAACGCUCCACAAGUCACCUUCUGGGAUUUUACCAUCUUUCAGUCGUGAAUGUUUGUCACAAACUGCAGCAGUGUCAACAGUGAGUGUGAACUGUCUUUCAAAACAAUGACAACUACUCGUGGAAUAUUUUACUCAUGUUUCCACAAAGUAACAAAGCCUCUUGAAAACAAUCUCCUGAAAUUAACCCUAAUUAACAAACGCCAACACAAACUGUAGCUUCUUUCAGCAAGAACCCUGAAAAACAUCAGCACCUCUGUCUGUACACUUAAAUCUAUGAAAACCCCCCAAAAUGCAAUACUUCAUAUUUCUAAGAGGGUUUGACUUGGAAUUUUGACAUUAACAUUCAUUCAU